rnacentral:rRNA from 1 species
GCGUGGGGGGAGCAAAACAGGAUUAGAUACCCUGGUAGCCACGCCGUAAACGAUGUCGACUUUGGAGGUUGUUCCCUUGAGGAGUGGCUUCCGGGAGCUAACGCGUUAAGUCGACCGCCUGGGGAGUACGGCCGCAAGGUUAAAACUCAAAUGAAUUGACGGGGGCCCGCACAAGCGGUGGAGCAUGUGGUUUAAUUCGAUGCAACGCGAAGAACCUUACCUACUCUUGACAUCCAGAGAACUUAGCAGAGAUGCUUUGGUGCCUUCGGGAACUCUGAGACAGGUGCUGCAUGGCUGUCGUCAGCUCGUGUUGUGAAAUGUUGGGUUAAGUCCCGCAACCCGCGCAACCCUUAUCCUUUGUUGCCAGCGAUUCGGUCGGGAACUCAAAGGAGACUGCCGGUGAUAAACCGGAGGAAGGUGGGGAUGACGUCAAGUCAUCAUGGCCCUUACGAGUAGGGCUACACACGUGCUACAAUGGCGCAUACAAAGAGAAGCGACCUCGCGAGAGCAAGCGGACCUCACAAAGUGCGUCGUAGUCCGGAUCGGAGUCUGCAACUCGACUCCGUGAAGUCGGAAUCGCUAGUAAUCGUGGAUCAGAAUGCCACGGUGAAUACGUUCCCGGGCCUUGUACAACACCGCCCGUCACACCAUGGGAGUGGGUUGCAAAAGAAGUAGGUAGCUAACUCGGGAGGCGCUACCACCUGAGAGUCCCUCCCCCUUAAA